rnacentral:rRNA from 1 species
CCGGCGACCGGCGCACGGGUGAGUAACACGUAUGGAACCUGCCCGCAGCAGGGGGAUAAGCGGAAGAAAUUCCGUCUAAUACCGCGUAACAACGUUGGGAGGCAUCUCCCGAUGUUUAAAGAUUUAUCGGCUGCGGAUGGCCAUGCGGCGCAUUAGCUAGUCGGCGGGGUAACGGCCCACCAAGGCGACGAUGCGUAGGGGUUCUGAGAGGAAGGUCCCCCACACUGGUACUGAGACACGGACCAGACUCCUACGGGAGGCAGCAG